GGAGAGGUGGCAGAGCGGUUGAAUGCGGCGGUCUUGAAAACCGUUGAACGUGAAAAGCGUUCCGUGAGUUCGAAUCUCACCCUCUCCG
rnacentral:tRNA from 1 species